UUCCCCUUCGGGGGGACAGGGUGACAGGUGGUGCAUGGUUGUCGUCAGCUCGUGUCGUGAGAUGUUGGGUUAAGUCCCGCAACGAGCGCAACCCUCGACCUUAGUUGCCAGCAUUCAGUUGGGCACUCUAAGGUGACUGCCGGCUAAAAGUCGGAGGAAGGUGGGGAUGACGUCAAAUCAUCAUGCCCCUUAUGACCUGGGCUACACACGUGCUACAAUGGGCGGUACAAAGGGUCGCGAACCCGCGAGGGGGAGCCAAUCCCAAAAAGCCGCUCUCAGUUCGGAUUGCAGGCUGCAACUCGCCUGCAUGAAGCCGGAAUCGCUAGUAAUCGCGGAUCAGCAUGCCGCGGUCGAAUACGUUCCCGGGCCUU
rnacentral:rRNA from 1 species